rnacentral:lncRNA from 1 species
AAGGGAAGUGCCCUCCGGAGGCCCUAGGAUGGGGAGACGGGAUAUUAAAGCCAUGACAGCAAACAGCCCCUUUCUCCUAAGGUUCCUGAUUUGAAGUGGCAAAACAAGGCAGUGGCAUAGUCUCCUGUCCUAUGUCCUUGGCAUGCAGUUGGCUUCAGGUCACAUGUUGCUCUGGAGAACCGAGAAGGGUGAGCAGACACCAAUCAUGACCCCAAACAGCAAGAGGACAGAAGUCUGCAGGAUGCUCAGCAGGGGCACUCCCUGAACACGCCUGCUCCCACAGCAUGUGCAAAGGCUUCACACUUGGAUUGAGGGUUAUACA